UUUGUGUGUCGUUGGGACGUCAGAUUCGUCACUCAGUUUUGGACCAUACCUCCUCGCGCUGUCAUAAUGGGGAUGCAUCGGGUCGUGGCGGGUUGCACAAUAUGAAAGUGUAACAGGUAUACCAGCCACACCUGCGUGAAGCCCCGCCCCCAGACUGCAGCUGAAACUCACGCUCUCCUCAGAGACGCUGACUGACAGGCCAGUGGGCACAGGGAACACAGAAGGGUGGUCAGGCUCGCACAGACAUGAGCUGAAGGAAGACACUUUAUUUGCAACUUGACUGCCAAAAAUGAUCCUCUAUACCAGAGACCGCCACCCAGGCUGAAAGGCAUCCAGGGGACCCCCAUCAAAAGUAUUAUGUAAAUAAAUAAAUAAAACAGGUUUAUGUUUUGUAUAAAUGUUCCCAAAUCUAUGUACUGUAUGCUGAAAACCCAGGCUCUAUACCAUAGAGGUCUGACUGGCCUCAUGGCAGGAACAGGGAGCCAGUGUGUACACAGGCCCAUGCCAAAGGACAAAAAUACUUACUGUCAGC